rnacentral:rRNA from 1 species
UUUAAGGUCUAACCUGCCCAAUGAGGAUUUAAAUGGCCGCAGUAUUUUGACUGUGCAAAGGUAGCAUAAUUAUUAGUUUUUUAAUUGAAAGCUUGUAUGAAGGGUUGGACGAGAUAAAAUCUGUCUCUAUUUAAUUUAUAGUAGAAUUUAACUUUUGAGUCAAAAGGCUUAAAUAGUUAUAAAAGACGAGAAGACCCUAUAGAUCUUUAUUUGAUUAAUGUUUUAAUAAUUUAGGAUUAGUUUAGUUUAAAGUUUUAAUCAAAUUUUAUUGGGGUAAUAUAAAGAUUAAAUAAAUUCUUUUUAUUAAUUACAUUGAUUUAUGAAUUUGUGAUCCAAUAUUAUUGAUUAUAAGAUUAAGUUACCUUAGGGAUAACAGCGUAAUUUUUUUGGAGAGCUCAUAUCGAUAAAAAAGUUUGCGACCUCGAUGUUGGAUUAAAAGUUAGCUUGGGUGCAGAGGCUCAAGAUUUUGGUCUGUUCGACCAUUAAACUUUUACAUGAUCUGAGUUCAGACCGGCGUAAGCCAGGUCGGUUUCUAUCUUUAUUUUAUUAAAAUGUUUUAGUACGAAAGGACCAAAUAUUUAAUAUAUUUAUAUUUAAUUUUUGAACAAUAUUAUUACUUUGGCAGAUUAGUGCAAUGAAUUUAGAAUUCAUGAAUGUUA